rnacentral:rRNA from 1 species
AUGUCCCAUAAAGUCAAGGGCAUCAACCACAUAUGCAUAUGUAUAGUUGCAUACAUCUAUGUACUCCGUCUAAAGCGGUCGGCCAAUCACCUGUCUACAGUUCUACCACAUCUUCGUCGAUAUGAAGAAGAAAGAAAUCUCUGCGCCGAUCCAAAAUUGAAUGGAUCGAGCUACCAGACACUUCUUACUCGACAGAUCUGCCCUGCUGCCUUGGAAGCUUCUAUGGGCGUGUUUGGUUGCCUGCAUGAGUCCCGACCAGGCCCGCACGGGAAGAAAACGGUUUGUUUGGUUGGCUGCAUACACUGUUGA